rnacentral:lncRNA from 10 species
CGCGCCGGGAUCCUGCCACAGCUGCUGCCCACACCGCGCUCAGCGCCUUCACUGCCAUCCCCGCUGUCCUUGCCGCCCCCGCCAUGGGCCUAGAGCUGUUUCUUGACCUGGUGUCCCAGCCCAGCCGCGCCGUCUACAUCUUCGCCAAGAAGAAUGGCAUCCCCUUAGAGCUGCGCACCGUGGAUUUGGUCAAAGGGAUGGAAAGAAAAUACUGAAUGGAGUUGACAGAGUUCUUGCGUGGAAUGCACGCAUAUAAAUUCACAAAGCCCAGAAGACCUCGGGAAGAAGGACAUACUGUUGUGAGAAUUAAGAGAUGGGAAGAGAUGAGCCACCCCAGUUUGCCUCCCCUCCCCUGGCCCACCAGAGUCCGGCUAGAAAACUUCUCUUUAUCCACCUGCUGCACCUGGCCCCACCCACCAAAACCCCCCAGCUGCCCCGGAAUGUGGCAGGGCAGGGAGGCCCAGCCAGGGAGUGAGGCUGAUCCAGGCCUCUAGUCCCAGACCUUGCUGUUUCUCAGGGCUGUGGGGCUCCGCUUGGGGAGGAGGAGGGAGGGUGUAGAGGUGCAGCGUUUUUACUCUGAAGACCUUUUCUGACUUCUUCUUCUUCAGGGCAGCACAAGAGCAAGGAGUUCUUGCAGAUCAACAGCCUGGGGAAACUGCCGACGCUCAAGGAUGGUGAUUUCAUCUUGACCGAAAGAUGCCCUCCUUCCCUCACCCCUCACCGCAUCCGGAGCCCAUGUGACCUUGGCUCUCCCCACUGGCCCCGGGCCCCAAUGGCCCUCCCAUACCCCAUGGGGCAGCGAGGGAGGGGAAAGGCGAGGGAUCUGGCCGGGCGCGGUGGCUCACGCCUGUCAUCCCGGCACUUCGGGAGGCCAAGGCGGGCGGAUCACGAGGUCAGGAGACCGAGACCAUCCUGGCUAACACCGUGAAACACCGUCUCUACUAAAAAUGGAAAAAAAAAUUAACCGGGCGUGGUGGCGGGCGUCUGUAGUCCCAGCUACUCUGGAGGCUGAGGCAGGAGAAUGGUGUGAACCCAGGAGGCGGAGCUUGCAGUGUGCUGAGAUCGCGCCACUGCACUCCAGCCUGGGCGACAGAGCUAGACUCCGUCUCAAAAAGGCCGGGCGCGGUGGUUUACGCCUGUAAUCCCAGCACUUUGGGAGGCCGAGGUGGGCGGAUCACGAGGUCAGGAGAUCGAGACCAUCCUGGCUAACACGGUGAAACCCUGUCUCUACUAAAAAUACAAAACAUUAGCAGGGCGUGGUGGCGGCCGCCUGUAGUCCCAGCUACUGGGGAGGCUGAGGCAGGAGAAUGGCGUGAACUCAGGAGGCGGAGCUUGCAAUGAGCAGAGGUCGCGCCACUGCACUCCAGCCUGGGUGACAGAGGGAGCCCACUCCAGCCUGGGCGACAGAGGGAGACUCCGUCUCAAAAAAAAAGGAAAGAAAGAAAGGAGAGGUAUCUGGGGAGAAGGUACAGCUUGGGGUGUGUCCGGGAUGAGCAGGGGCUGACAGAACAUGUCCCCCCACCUCUCAUCUUCAGCCUUUUCUGAGCCGCAGGGCCUCUCCACUCCCAGACUGAAGGGUAUUAGAAGAGAAGACAAGGGAACAUUUUUCCACUGUUGCGCAUUUGUUCAACAAAUGCUAGCUGAAAAGAGCCUCUAGUGACUUGUCGCAGACUACCCAAUCUACCCAGGCCGGGCCUAGAGGCCAAUGCCAUGGCCCAAGGGCACAGCUCAUGGUGAGGUCCAGCUGCUGGGCAGGAAAAGGACAAGAGGUCAGGUGGCUGCAGAGGUGAUGGCUGGGGGCCUGUCAGACGGGGGCCAAAGACAUUCCUCCCCUCGUGAUCCCUGACCCAAGCGCGUGGACAUGCAAGGGACUCCACGGAGCAUCCACUGUGUGCCAGCCCCAUGCAGGGUUCCAGGGGUCCAGGGAGCCUAUUCUGAGCUGCACCGCCUCGGACAAGUCACUUGACCAUUCUGACCUUGAGUUUUCUCUUGUGCUAAAAGGCUAACAGGAGUGUCUACCUCACAGGGCGGCUGCUGGCAUAUCACAGAGAUGAGGUUCUCAAAAUGCAAAGCAGAAGGUCCAGCCAAGAGUCGGUGCCCAAGGCAACAAAGACAGGAGGAGACUCGUAGGAGGAGGGGGUGGUGUUGGGGAGCUGGAGAUGGAGGGCGAGGCUGGAGGGCAGUCCUUCAAAUGCAGAGAAGCCCCCGGGCCCCACUGGCAGAUGGGAGCAGUUAGGGGUAAAUGCCUGGUGCCAGUGUCCUUAUAGCCACUGCCCAUUUGUUCCCAGCUCGGCCAUCCUGAUUUACCUGAGCUGUAAGUACCAGACGCCGGACCACUGGUAUCCAUCUGACCUGCAGGCUCGUGCCCGUGUUCAUGAGUACCUGGGCUGGCAUGCCGACUGCAUCCGUGGCACCUUUGGUAUACCCCUGUGGGUCCAGUGUUGGGGCCACUCAUUGGGGUCCAGGUGCCCGAGGAGAAGGUGGAACGCAACAGGACUGCCAUGGACCAGGCCCUGCAAUGGCUGGAGGACAAGUUCCUGGGGGACAGGCCCUUCCUCGCUGGCCAGCAGCCGGUGGCUCUCGGCUAUGAACUGUUUGAGGGACGGCCACGACUGGCAGCAUGGCGUGGAUGAGUGGAGGCUUUCCUGGGUGCUGAGCUAUGCCAGGAGGCCCACAGCAUCAUCUUGAGCAUCCUGGAACAGGCGGCCAAGAAAACCCUCCCAACACCCUCACCAGAGGCCUAUCAGGCUAUGCUGCUUCGAAUCGCCAGGAUCCCCUGAAGGGUCUGGGAUGGGGGCCAGGAGAUUAGCAACAAGGAUUCAUUCUGUUACUUACUUGCCCCUUUUUAUCUUUCCCUCUUGCCCCAGUCCCUUCUCUCCAGCUUCAUGUGAAGCUCUGCACAGACAAGACACUCAGUGUCCUUGGCAGUGCUGCUACUCCUCAGGUGCAGCAUACAUAACCAGUAAGAGACUAAAUCUGCAAUAUAUAAAGAGCUCCUACAAAUCAGUAACAUGAAGAACACUCAAAAAUUGGCAAAUGUCAUCAGUGUUUUAAACAGAAUAAAGAUUCCAAACACUUUGAAUAGAGAA